rnacentral:rRNA from 1 species
CGUCAGGGCCUAAGGUUAUUAACCUUAAACUUUUCCUCCCUACUGAAAGUGCUUUACAACCCUAAGGCCUUCUUCACACACGCGGCAUUGCUGCAUCAGAGUUUUCCUCCAUUGUGCAAUAUUCCCC